GUAACUAAGUCUUUUCUGCGUGCCCCUGCGGGCGUAGGGCUGGGGCUGGCCCGCGUCAGUGUGUUUGAAAAGGUAAAGGCUUGUAGUUUUGUAGUUUAUUUUGCGCCGUGGCGGCUGCUGUGUGUAAGCAGCAGCCUACCUAUGAGGUUUUCAUCGUCCUGGGCUUCCACUUGAGAGAACUCCAGCACCGCGGGUGAAGAAGCCGCACCUGCGGCCUCCGUGACUGCCCUUGAGCUGCUCUUCCUUACUCCGGAUGGAAAUCUAGUCAGACUGCGUCUGAACGUUGCAAAUGAAAUGAGGAACCUUGUAACAAAAACAAGUCGCGGCCGGGCGCGGUGGUUCACGCCUGUAAUCCCAGCACUUUGGGAGGCCGAGCCAGGCGGAUCACCUGAGGUCGGAGUUCGAGACCAGCCUGACCAACAAGGAGAAACCCCGUCUCUACUAAACAUACAAAAUUAGCCGGGCGCGGUGGCUCAUGCCUGUAAUCUAAGCACUUUAGGAGGCCGAGGCAGGCGGAUCACCUGAGAUCGUAGUUCGAGACCAGCCUGACCAACAUGGAGAAACCCCGUCUCUACUACAAAUACAAAAUUAGCCGGGCAUGGUGGCUCAUGCCUGUAAUGUAAUCCCAGCUACUCGGGAGGCCGAGGCAGGAGAAUCGCUUGAACCUGGGAGGCGGAGGUUGCGGUGAGCCGAGAUCGCGCCAUUGCACUCCAGCCUGGGCAACAAGAGCGGAAACUCCGUCUCAAAAACAACAACAACAACAACAACAACAACAAAAACCAAGUCGCAUCUUUCAGAUCCUAAAGCACCACGUCGUCGGAAAACAUUCAAAGGGUUGCCCGUUUGCUUGUGUGAAUUUUUCUUUUCCUUAAACUAUCAGGAGAAUCUCGAUUCUCCUGCAUUUAAUUAAUGCUGGGAUCACUUCAGCCACUUUAACCAGAAAUCGGCGAUAUCUAGACACCGCUUCUCUGAGGACACUUUGACAACGUGACAAAAGACAUUGCCAGUCUAAUGAUGGGGGUGGGGUGGAGGAGACAAAAGUACAGAUUCAGAUUUGCAUACUGAAAUCCUUAAUUGCACACAACUCGGCCCGCUUUAUUAGAGUUCGGGCGGAAGUGCGACACCGAGUCCUCCAAGGCUAACUGGAGGGUUAAAUUAUACGGUUACUAAUCCGCCGUGCUUGUCAAGGGCCUAAAGGGACUCUGCCCCUUUCUGCUGCAGUGCCAUCUGCUGGCUGCAGCCUGCUUGGUUACCCAGAGGGAAAACUGCCAAAGCAUCCUCUGGAAGCUGGCCUGGAAAGACAAGCCAAAGUCUAGUGCAGGACAGAUGCCUUGAGAAAAUAUACAUACAUGCAGAAAGAAAAAAAAAAAAAGACGGCGUAUAUACGGGACAAAACCUAGGACAAGGCCAGGCAGCCACUCAGAUUAUAUAUAUGUUUGCACAUUCACACACAGACAAAUUCCCCUGCCCAAAAGAACUGUUCAGGACCACUCAAAAACAAAACAGAACAAAAGCUCUAUUGUUUAGGCCUUCGAAUCCUUCAUCAACCAUUGUCUAAAACAGCAGCAGCUGGCCGGGCGCGGCUCACGCCUGUAAUCCCAGCACUUUGGGAGGCCGAGGCAGGCGGAUUACCUGAGGUCAGGAGUUCAAGACCACCCUGACCACAUGGUGAAACCCCGUCUCUACUUAAAAAAAAAAAAAGAAAAAAGAAAAAAAGAAAUACAGAAAUUAGCCUGGCAUGGUGGCGUGCGCCUGUAAUCCCAGCUACUCGGAAGGCAGAGGCAGGAGAAUAGCUUGAACCCGGGAGGGAGAGGUUGCAGUGAGCCGAGACAGCACCACUGCCCUCCAGCCUGGGCGACAGAGCGAGACUCCAUUUCAAAUAAUAAUAAUAAUAAUAAUAACUGCCCCCCUUUGGCCGGGCGCGGUUGCUCACGCCUGUAAUUCCAGCACUUUGGGAGGCCGAGGUGGGCGGAUCACCUGAGGUCGGGAGUUCGAGACCAGCCUGACCAACAUGGAGAAACCCCGUCUCUACUAAAAAUACAAAAGUAGCCGGGCAUGGUGGCACAUGCCUGUAAUCCCAGCUACUUGGGAGGCUGAGGCAGGAGAAUCGCUUGAACUGGGGAGGCAGAGGUUGCGGUGAGCUGAGAUCCUGCCAUAGCACGCUAGCCUGGGCAACAGUGAAACUACGUCUCAAAAAAAACAAAGAAAAGAAAAAAAAUUGCCCCUCUUGUAAUCCUACAGCCAUCACCUUAGUAAUUUUGCUAUAUCGGUAGUCUUUAAGUAUCAAUUAUGUCCUCACAACAAUGAAAACUUACAUUUUUAUAACAUUUUGACAUUUUCAAAGCAAACACACCUUGUCAUAUGAUCUUAUUUAACCCUCACAACUGCCUGAUUACCCCUGUUUUAGAAAUAAACCAAGGUUUAGGGUAAGGACUGCCAAGUAUUACACUGGCACAAUAAUUCCAGCCUUCUGAAAUCAGGACUAGAAAAUUUUCCUCCAUACCACACUGGUGUUUCCUUUGACAGCAACCACUACCUACUGAAUAAUGCCUAAGUCCUUAGCCUGCUACUCAAGGCCUUCCAAUAGUAUUUUCCACUGUUCCCUAUAUGGGCUUUAAGCUUUGUCUAUAAAGACUAUGUUCUUCAGUUACAGUCUUUGCUUUCUCAUUUUUGCUCAUGCCACUCACUUUUUAGAGAUAAUUUUUUCUCCCCAUUUUUUUUUAACUAGAUGAAAACCUCUUCAGUUUUUGUCAUACUCUGAAAGACAAGUCUUUCCUCUUCUGUCAUUCUCAGAGGUUAGAAUAAAAGUUAAUCAGCUGGGCGCAGGGGCUCACGCCUGUAAUCUCAACACUUUGGGAGGCCGAGGCGGGAGGAUCACCUGAGGUCGGGAGUUCGAGACCAGCCUGGCCAGCAUGGUGAAACCCCGUGUCUACUAAAAAUUCAAAAAAAUUAGCCGGGAGUGGUGGCAGGUGCCUGUAAUCCCAGCUACUCAGGAAGCUGAGGCGAAAGAAUCACUUGAACCUGGGAGACGGAUAUUGCAGUGAGCCGAGAUUGUGCCAUUGCACUCCAGCCUGGGCAACAGAGUGAGACUCCACCACAAAAAAAAAAAAAAAAAAAAAAAAAAAAAAAAGUUAAGCCCGGGCGCAAUGACUCACGCCUGUAAUCCCAGCACUUUGGGAGGCCAAGGUGGGCAGAUCACCUGAGGUCAGGAGUUCAAGACCAGCCUGGCCAACAUGGUGAAACCUUGUCUAAAAACACAAAACUAAAAACACAAAAAUUAGCCGGGCAUGGGGGCGUGAGCCUCCAAUCCCAGCUACUCAGGUGGCUAAGGCAGGAGGGAGAAUCGCUUCAGACUGGGAGGCGAAGGUUGCAGUGAGCCGAGAUUGUGCCACUGUACUCCAGCCUGGACAACAGAGUGAGACUCCCUCUCAAAAAAAAAAAAAAAAAGAAUAAAAUGUAAAGGCUGGGCAUGGUGGCUCACACCUGUAAUCCCAGCACUUUGGGAGACCGAGACAGGUGGAUCACUUG
rnacentral:lncRNA from 1 species